AACACGUGUGCAACCUGCCUUUAUCAGGGGGAUAGCCUUUCGAAAGGAAGAUUAAUACCCCAUAAUAUAUUGAUUGGCAUCAAUUAAUAUUGAAAACUCCGGUGGAUAGAGAUGGGCACGCGCAAGAUUAGAUAGUUGGUGAGGUAACGGCUCACCAAGUCAGUGAUCUUUAGGGGGCCUGAGAGGGUGAUCCCCCACACUGGUACUGAGACACGGACCAGACUCCUACGGGAGGCAGCAGUGAGGAAUAUUGGACAAUGGGUGAGAGCCUGAUCCAGCCAUCCCGCGUGAAGGACGACGGUUCUAUGGAUUGUAAACUUCUUUUAUACUGGGAUAAACCUACCCUCGUGAGGGUAGCUGAAGGUACAGUAUGAAUAAGCACCGGCUAACUCCGUGCCAGCAGCCGCGGUAAUACGGAGGGUGCAAGCGUUAUCCGGAUUUAUUGGGUUUAAAGGGUCCGUAGGCGGAUCUGUAAGUCAGUGGUGAAAUCUCAUAGCUUAACUAUGAAACUGCCAUUGAUACUGCAGGUCUUGAGUAAAGUAGAAGUGGCUGGAAUAAGUAGUGUAGCGGUGAAAUGCAUAGAUAUUACUUAGAACACCAAUUGCGAAGGCAGGUCACUAUGUUUUAACUGACGCUGAUGGACGAAAGCGUGGGGAGCGAACAGGAUUAGAUACCCUGGUAGUCCACGCCGUAAACGAUGCUAACUCGUUUUUGGGUUUUCGGAUUCAGAGACUAAGCGAAAGUGAUAAGUUAGCCACCUGGGGAGUACGUUCGCAAGAAUGAAACUCAAAGGAAUUGACGGGGGCCCGCACAAGCGGUGGAUUAUGUGGUUUAAUUCGAUGAUACGCGAGGAACCUUACCAAGGCUUAAAUGGGAAUUGACAGGUUUAGAAAUAGACUUUUCUUCGGACAAUUUUCAAGGUGCUGCAUGGUUGUCGUCAGCUCGUGCCGUGAGGUGUUAGGUUAAGUCCUGCAACGAGCGCAACCCCUGUCACUAGUUGCCAUCAUUCAGUUGGGGACUCUAGUGAGACUGCCUACGCAAGUAGAGAGGAAGGUGGGGAUGACGUCAAAUCAUCACGGCCCUUACGCCUUGGGCCACACACGUAAUACAAUGGCCAGUACAGAGGGCAGCUACCAGGCGACUGGAUGCGAAUCUCGAAAGCUGGUCUCAGUUCGGAUUGGAGUCUGCAACUCGACUCUAUGAAGCUGGAAUCGCUAGUAAUCGCGCAUCAGCCAUGGCGCGGUGAAUACGUUCCCGGGCCUUGUACACACCGCCCGUCAAGCCAUGGAAGUCUGGGGUACCUGAAGUCGGUGACCGUAACAGGAGCUGCCUAGGGUAAAACAGGUAACUA
rnacentral:rRNA from 1 species